GACGAACGCUGGCGGCGUGCUUAACACAUGCAAGUCGAACGGAAAGGCCCUGCUUUUGUGGGGUGCUCGAGUGGCGAACGGGUGAGUAACACGUGAGUAACCUGCCCUUGACUUUGGGAUAACUUCGGGAAACUGGGGCUAAUACCGGAUAGGAGCUCCUGCUGCAUGGUGGGGGUUGGAAAGUUUCGGCGGUUGGGGAUGGACUCGCGGCUUAUCAGCUUGUUGGUGGGGUAGUGGCUUACCAAGGCUUUGACGGGUAGCCGGCCUGAGAGGGUGACCGGCCACAUUGGGACUGAGAUACGGCCCAGGCUCCUACGGGAGGCAGCAGUGGGGAAUAUUGCACAAUGGGCGGAAGCCUGAUGCAGCAACGCCGCGUGCGGGAUGACGGCCUUCGGGUUGUAAACCGCUUUCGCCUGUGACGAAGCGUGAGUGACGGUAAUGGGUAAAGAAGCACCGGCUAACUACGUG
rnacentral:rRNA from 1 species